AAAUAAAACGAAAAUUCGAUAAACGGUGAAAAAAAACUGUAAGAGAAAUUAAUCAUACAGUUUUUUUCCCUCAUCGUUUAUCGCUUUUU
rnacentral:pre_miRNA from 1 species